rnacentral:rRNA from 1 species
CACGUAGGGCGCGAGCGUUGUCCGGAAUUAUUGGGCGUAAAGAGCUCGUAGGCGGCCUGUUGCGUCCGCUGUGAAAGCCCGGGGCUUAACCCCGGGUCUGCAGUGGAUACGGGCAGGCUAGAGGUAGGUAGGGGAGAAUGGAAUUCCCGGUGUAGCGGUGAAAUGCGCAGAUAUCGGGAGGAACACCGGUGGCGAGGGCGGUUCUCUGGGCCUUACCUGACGCUGAGGCGCGAAAGCUAGGGGAGCAAACGGG